CCCCCGCAAGGCAGAUAGCCCGUUUGCCUGGAGAUAACACGCGAUGGAACGUACCUGGUCAGGUCUCGACUUGUUCGAUCCUAUCGCCGGUCGUCGUUGAACUGACCCGAAUCGAAGCCAAUCGGUCCGAAGGAGGGCCUCUCCUAGUCGUCCUUGCAUUUUUAUUCAACUAGCCAUCGGGUACGCGAAGCAAAAUCGUGAAGUAACCGCGACCAGAUCCGCUGCCAGCGGGCAGCACAUAAUUUCCACGAAGUCCGCUCGGUCGACCCCGUUCUCUAAUUGAUCGAUCUUUAAUUAACUCUCGCCGUGAUCGCAUAGAGUGUAGCGGUGAUUAUCCUGAUGGGGCGAUAUGGCGACAGGAAACUGUACAAUGAAGGGGAACAGAGGAUCAGUGGGGAACCAUAAGGGCCUUGUUGUGUCAACGUUGGCGGAGAGCGCGAAACAGGGACGGAUGUUCCUUUUUCUUCUCCAUUUUCCUCCUCUUUGUUUCCCAUCUGCUUACCUUGGCUUCGCUGGAAUGUAAGGAGAUAAGUGGACGCGGACGACAGCCGCGAGUGGUUUCCCUUUUUCUUCUUCUUCUUCUAUUUUUUUUUCUUUUUUUAAUGGAAAUACCGUGUACGUAUACGCAGUGGCGUUGUCCGCGUCACAGGUGCGCGAAAGAGCUGUUACGAGCGAGGAGGAAGAACCGUCGCGUGAUUACACGCCGUGUAAUCUGCGGUUUGUAUUGAAAACGACCAGCUCGCGUACAAAGUAGCCGCGAAUGACGAUAGAUUAGCGGGCGAUUACGUUGCAAACGGGGAACUGUGGCAGGGAAUCCUCGCGGAUACCUGGGGAAGAUUUCACGCAAUGGUACCGAAGAGUCGUUUUUAAUUAAGGACUCAUAUCGAUAAGGAAGAGAGAGUUAUCUUCUCCAAGGUACACAGCCUGGUCUGUCGCAAGUGAAAGCCUCGAUGAUCGAGUGGCGGCGUCUGAGGACAGGUUUCGGUGAAGCUGAACGGUCUGGGAUAAUAUCACUGCACGUCGAACACUCGAACCAUACAUUAUUAAAAAUAAUAACGGAUGGACCAGCUACUCGGCGUUUUAAUUUCCACGUCGAUGCUCCAAUUGAUACCUGACGUACCCCCACUCGAGCCGAACGGAACUGGUUCUCUCGAGUGAGUCACCGUCCCCCUUGGGUUUUAUCCAGCCGUGGAGAUGUGAAAUCGCGCAAGGUGGAUGGGAAAACGCGAGGGUAUGACGGGUUAGGAGCCGAACGCGACCUAGAAAGUCGGUGCAACAGGUGGCAGCAGGUAGAGCCAACGGGGGAUGACGACCUGGUGACUCAUGGGGUUGCUCCGGGAAUGUUGAUCGUUCUUCUUUGGCCCCUUUCCCCUUCUUUCGACAGCGUCUUUACCUGGAUGACUCACAUUCCACUCACACAGCCGUACGCGCAUUCUUACACCUGAGGAAACACGAGGACCCCCGUUUCUUUUUCAGGCCUAUUCAUUCACCGACUGGAUCCUUGCUUCCUUUCUUCGAGACUCCGUCAUAAGGGGAUGUCAGUCUAUUUUCUCUUGGAAUGUACUUCUCCAAUGUUACAGAAGCUGUGGAAUAUCAGACGACUCACAGAGUGAAGGUCACCACGCUGAGACGUCAAGCCUUACCUUUGGCAAUCUUGCAGACCGAAGACCAACUAAACAGACAAACCGUUAAAGCUAAUAACCAUGGAUUGAAUGGAACCGAGAAGGGUCAAGGUACAAUUCCAGGAGGGUUGAGUAAUACCACAUAGAUUGUAUUUUUAAUUUAGCAGCAUAGGUGUUAAAUGCCAUUGCCAUUCUCUAAUCGCGUCGAUUACCCGCGAGGAAUGUCGUUCUUAUCUUUCUCUCACGCGCUCCAUACCAAUAACCGCUGUCACUCAUAACUAUUAUUGUGACACCAUUAAAUAAUGAUAGUCCGCGAGAUUGAUACCCAUAUCAAACGCGUCAUUCGUGGCUGCCCAUACCAACACGGCGCCCAGAGCACGACAUACGUGCAGUCGUGAGCGAAUUUGUCGCUCCCUCGCGAAGACUUUUCGCAUUCGUAACACAGCGAUAUUAAUACUGACAGCCUCGCAAGGAAUCGCUCCAACAUCGAGUACAUCGUUAAACACGGCUCUCAAUUGCCAAUCUAAAAAAUUAGGCCUGGAUUAGAUGAGCGUUAGGCCCGAGAUACAGUCGAGUAGUUACGCACACCUAGGAUAGCAGAGAAUGGGGAGCCUGUCUCCUCAUCAUUUUUAUCGCGAGCAUCAGGAUUUUAUUAAAUUACACUGUAUCGAUAUCGGGAAGUAUUAGGUCUACCAGAAGGUUCUGUCCAUUUUUAGAAUAAAACAAAAUAAUACAUUUUUCAUGCCUUGAAUAAAUUUGAUCGAAUAAUAUAAUUUUGAUCGUUAUUUAUGACAUGUUGUUAGCGCGAUUGCAAUUUCUAUAUCAUUUUUAGCAAAUAUGCGCAUACUUGUUGAAAGUUGUUGCAACCGAAACCGACAGAAUUUUCCGGUAGACCUAAUAUUAUUGUAGAAAAGUGUAUUAUUGUGUUUUGAUUACUCUAGAUUAGAUAAUUGAGUUAAAGUUUGUAUUAAAAUUGCAUUGUACUUAAGAUUGACUCUAAGUUAAAUUCAAAUUACUUGUGAUGUACUUUUACUUCUAGGUCUGUUAAAAUUAGUUUAAAAGCAGCAUUGUAAACAAUCUUCGACUCAACUGUAUUCUCAGCGCAUCAUUUUACACGAUUGUCCCUGCUUGUACAUCAAAGACGACAAAUAAAAAAAUACAAAAUAAA